rnacentral:misc_RNA from 1 species
UUUCCGUAGGUGAACCUGCGGAAGGAUCAUUAAUGAGUUGUCAUGGGGUUCGAUGCUGGCAGCCAGUUUUUGGAUGCAUGUGCUUGCCCUAACAAUCAUCUUCUUCCAAACACCUGUGCACAUUUUUGAGGGAGUCUUGAGUUGGUUGCCGCUCUUGGGUGAUUUUCUCACACUCCCUUAAAUCAUUAUACGCUAUUAACAAUGUUGAACGUGCUCUGUGCCGCAAGGCCAUUAAUAUAAUACAACUUUUAACAACGGAUCUCUUGGCUCUC